rnacentral:rRNA from 1 species
GAUGAACGCUGGCGGCGUGCUUAACACAUGCAAGUCGAACGAUGAAGCCCAGCUUGCUGGGUGGAUUAGUGGCGAACGGGUGAGUAACACGUGAGUAACCUGCCCUUAACUCUGGGAUAAGCCUGGGAAACUGGGUCUAAUACCGGAUAGGAGCGUCCACCGCAUGGUGGGUGUUGGAAAGAUUUAUCGGUUUUGGAUGGACUCGCGGCCUAUCAGCUUGUUGGUGAGGUAAUGGCUCACCAAGGCGACGACGGGUAGCCGGCCUGGGAGGGUGACCGGCCACACUGGGACUGAGACACGGCCCAGACUCCUACGGGAGGCAGCAGUGGGGAAUAUUGCACAAUGGGCGCAAGCCUGAUGCAGCGACGCCGCGUGAGGGAUGACGGCCUUCGGGUUGUAAACCUCUUUCAGUAGGGAAGAAGCGAAAGGGACGGUACCUGCAGAAGAAGCACCGGCGAACUACGU